GGCUUUGUGGUCUAGUGGUAUGAUUCGCGCUUCGGGUAAUUCCCACACUGUGAAACAGUGCUUGUGCGAGGUCUCGGGUUCGAUCCCCGACAAAGCCC